AUUGAACGCUGGCGGCAUGCCUUACACAUGCAAGUCGAACGGCAGCACGGGAGCAAUCCUGGUGGCGAGUGGCGAACGGGUGAGUAAUAUAUCGGAACGUGCCCAGUCGUGGGGGAUGACGUAGCGAAAGCUACGCUAAUACCGCAUACGAUCUAUGGAUGAAAGCGGGGGAUCGCAAGGCCUCGCGCGAUUGGAGCGGCCGAUAUCAGAUUAGGUAGUUGGUGAGGUAAAGGCUCACCAAGCCGACGAUCUGUAGCUGGUCUGAGAGGACGACCAGCCACACUGGGACUGAGACACGGCCCAGACUCCUACGGGAGGCAGCAGUGGGGAAUUUUGGACAAUGGGCGCAAGCCUGAUCCAGCAAUGCCGCGUGCAGGAUGAAGGCCUUCGGGUUGUAAACUGCUUCUGUACGGAACGAAACGGCGAGCUCUAAUACAGUUUGCUAAUGACGGUACCGUAAGAAUAAGCACCGGCUAACUACGUGCCAGCAGCCGCCGUAA
rnacentral:rRNA from 1 species